UACAGAGGUCCCGAGCGUUGUUCGGAUUCAUUGGGCGUAAAGGGUGCGUAGGCGGCGGGGCAAGUCUGAUGUGAAAUCCCGGGGCUCAACCCCGGAACUGCAUUGGAUACUGCCUUGCUUGAGUACUGGAGAGGAGACUGGAAUUUACGGUGUAGCAGUGAAAUGCGUAGAGAUCGUAAGGAAGGCCAGUGGCGAAGGCGAGUCUCUGGACAGUUACUGACGCUGAGGCACGAAGGCCAGGGGAGCAAACGGG
rnacentral:rRNA from 1 species